GAUUCCUCCUUUUGGAGUAUUUGGCAAGCGGUGAUCCUUGGGACAGCUAACAAGCAAUGAAUUUUGUUUCUGCUGUUAACCAAAACUGAAUUCAGAACCUGGCAUUACAAUGAAUUCUAAAGCAGCCUCUUCUGUAGGUCCCAUCAAGUGGGCGUCAGUUCACAAUGGUUAAAAAGUGGGUACUGAAGAGCCCUAAAAGGCAUAUUGAGUAAUAAGCGAGUUGAAGUAGGGUGUUCUACAUAUAUAUUUAUUUUCCAGACUGGUCAACACUCAAUUAGUCCACUUUUAACAAGAGAGUUUUUUUUUUUGUUUGAAAGCUGCAAUCUCCCUCUAUUUGCAGUUAGAAUUGCAUUCUGAAAUCAGUUUUCCAGCUGAUUUGUAAAUUCUUUCUUUACUCUUGUAUAUUUCGGCAUUGUUGAAAACAGACAUUUUAUA